rnacentral:rRNA from 1 species
CGUGAUGACGAGGCACUACGGUGCUGAAGCAACAAAUGCCCUGCUUCCAGGAAAAGCCUCUAAGCAUCAGGUAACAUCAAAUCGUACCCCAAACCGACACAGGUGGUCAGGUAGAGAAUACCAAGGCGCUUGAGAGAACUCGGGUGAAGGAACUAGGCAAAAUGGUGCCGUAACUUCGGGAGAAGGCACGCUGAUAUGUAGGUGAGGUCCCUCGCGGAUGGAGCUGAAAUCAGUCGAAGAUACCAGCUGGCUGCAACUGUUUAUUAAAAACACAGCACUGUGCAAACACGAAAGUGGACGUAUACGGUGUGACGCCUGACCGGUGCCGGAAGGUUAAUUGAUGGGGUUAGCGCAAGCGAAGCUCUUGAUCGAAGCCCCGGUAAACGGCGGCCGUAACAAUAACGGUCCUAAGGUAGCGAAAUUCCUUGUCGGGUAAGUUCCGACCUGCACGAAUGGCGUAAUGAUGGCCAGGCUGUCUCCACCCGAGACUCAGUGAAAUUGAACUCGCUGUGAAGAUGCAGUGUACCCGCGGCAAGACGGAAAGACCCCGUGAACCUUUACUAUAGCUUGACACUGAACAUUGAGCCUUGAUGUGUAGGAUAGGUGGGAGGCUUUGAAGUGUGGACGCCAGUCUGCAUGGAGCCGACCUUGAAAUACCACCCUUUAAUGUUUGAUGUUCUAACGUUGACCCGUAAUCCGGGUUGCGGACAGUGUCUGGUGGGUAGUUUGACUGGGGCGGUCUCCUCCUAAAGAGUAACGGAGGAGCACGAAGGUUGGCUAAUCCUGGUCGGACAUCAGGAGGUUAGUGCAAUGGCAUAAGCCAGCUUGACUGCGAGCGUGACGGCGCGAGCAGGUGCGAAAGCAGGUCAUAGUGAUCCGGUGGUUCUGAAUGGAAGGGCCAUCGCUCAACGGAUAAAAGGUACUCCGGGAUAACAGGCUGAUACCGCCCAAGAGUUCAUAUCGACGGCGGUGUUUGGCACCUCGAUGUCGGCUCAUCACAUCCUGGGGCUGAAGUAGGUCCCAAGGGUAUGGCUGUUCGCCAUUUAAAGUGGUACGCGAGCUGGGUUUAGAACGUUGUGAGACAGUUCGGUCCCUAUCUGCCGUGGGCGCUGGAGAACUGAGGGGGGCUGCUCCUAGUACGAGAGGACCGGAGUGGACGCAUCACUGGUGUUCGGGUUGUCAUGCCAAUGGCACUGCCCGGUAGCUAAAUGCGGAAGAGAUAAGUGCUGAAAGCAUCUAAGCACGAAACUUGCCCCGAGAUGAGUUCUCCCUGACCCUUUAAGGGUCCUGAAGGAACGUUGAAGACGACGACGUUGAUAGGCCGGGUGUGUAAGCGCAGCGAUGCGUUGAGCUAACCGGUACUAAUGAACCGUGAGGCUUAACCU